UUCAAAAUCCACACUGAAGCUCCAUAGGAUUUUGUCAGUCAUGCUUGCACAUAUUGGUGCCUCCAAACAGUGUGGUUAUUCUUGGCUUUUUGAUAGAUUUAAAAAAUUUUCCCCUACAAGGUAAUUGAUCUUUUCUACCGGGAAAUUUCUGGCCAAACUUGUAUAGAGCUCCUGGGCAAGACUUUUUUCAUGGUUCAUUUUUUUGUCCAUCCCCCAGGUUGGCCACCUCAGGAUUGUACUGUCUCCCAGGAAGAAGAAGAAAUGACCAAGUCCCAUUUUAAUUAUACUACACCUCAGGAGGACCUCCUUGGAAUACGUUUGAAACCUUUGUGCUUUCUGGAUCUGGAUGUCAAUAUAUCUUACAAGACUUGGGAAGUGUUCAGCAAUUCUUUUAUUAAAUAAGCCUUCCAUCCCA